rnacentral:rRNA from 1 species
AGGUGUGCGCUGAGCGCGGUGGCCCCACCCCGCCCCAUCCCGAACCGGAGGGUGAAACACCGCAGCGCCGAUAGUACUGGCGGGUUACCCGCUGGGAGCGUAGGUCCGCGCACCUG